rnacentral:rRNA from 1 species
UACGGAGGGUGCAAGCGUUAGUCGGAAUUACUGGGCGUAAAGGGCGCGUAGGCGGAAAUAUAAGUCAGACGUGAAAUUCCGGGGCUUAACCUCGGAGCUGCAUCUGAAACUAUAUUUCUAGAGGAAGGGCGGAGAAAACGGAAUUCCACAUGUAGCGGUGAAAUGCGUAGAUAUCAGGAGGAACACCGGUGGCGAAGGCGGAUCUCUGGGCCAUUACUGACGCUGAGGAGCGAAAGCGUGGGGAGCGAACAGG